rnacentral:rRNA from 1 species
CCUACGGGGGGCUGCAGUGGGGAAUAUUGCACAAUGGGGGAAACCCUGAUGCAGCGACGCCGCGUGAGUGAGGAAGUCUUUCGGUAUGUAAAGCUCUAUCAGCAGGGAAGAAAAUGACGGUACCUGACUAAGACGCCCCGGCUAACUACGUGCCAGCAGCCGCGGUAAUACGUAGGGGGCAAGCGUUAUCCGGAUUUACUGGGUGUAAAGGGAGCGUAGACGGUUAUGUAAGUCUGGAGUGAAAGCCUGGGGCCCAACCCCGGGACUGCUUUGGAAACUGUGUAACUGGAGUACAGGAGGGGCAGGCGGAAUUCCUGGUGUAGCGGUGAAAUGCGUAGAUAUCAGGAGGAACACCGGCGGCGAAGGCGGCCUGCUGGACUGAAACUGACGUUGAGGCUCGAAAGCGUGGGGAGCAAACAGGAUUAGAUACCCGGGUAGUC